GCUAUGCUAAUGGGUGUGAGUGAUAACUCAUUCUGGUUUUGAUUUGCAUCACCCUGAUGAUUCGUGAUGUUAAGCACCUUUUCAUUUACCUGUUGGCUGAAUAU